UACGAAGGUUGCAAGCGUUACUCGGAAUUACUGGGCGUAAAGGGCAGGUAGGUGGUCUGAUAAGUCUGUUGUGAAAGCUCCCGGCUUAACUGGGAGAGGCCAACGGAUACUAUCAGGCUUGAGUAUAGGAGAGGUUACUGGAAUUCCCGGUGUAGCGGUGAAAUGCGCAGAGAUCGGGAGGAACACCAAUGGCGAAAGCAGGUAACUGGACUAUUACUGACACUCAACUGCGAAAGCUAGGGGAGCAAACAGG
rnacentral:rRNA from 1 species